UACGGAGGAUCCAAGCGUUAUCCGGAUUUACUGGGUGUAAAGGGCGUGUAGGCGGGAUGGUAAGUCAGAUGUGAAAACUAUGGGCUCAACCCAUAGCCUGCAUUUGAAACUAUCGUUCUUGAGUGUUGGAGAGGCAGGCGGAAUUCCGUGUGUAGCGGUGAAAUGCGUAGAUAUACGGAGGAACACCAGUGGCGAAGGCGGCUCACUGGACUGUAACUGACGUUGAGGCUCGAAAGCGUGGGGAGCAAACAGG
rnacentral:rRNA from 1 species